AGUGAACGCUGGCGGUAGGCCUAACACAUGCAAGUCGAACGGCAGCACAGUAAGAGCUUGCUCUUACGGGUGGCGAGUGGCGGACGGGUGAGGAAUACAUCGGAAUCUACUUUUUCGUGGGGGAUAACGUAGGGAAACUUACGCUAAUACCGCAUACGACCUACGGGUGAAAGCAGGGGAUCUUCGGACCUUGCGCGAUUGAAUGAGCCGAUGUCGGAUUAGCUAGUUGGCGGGGUAAAGGCCCACCAAGGCGACGAUCCGUAGCUGGUCUGAGAGGAUGAUCAGCCACACUGGAACUGAGACACGGUCCAGACUCCUACGGGCGGCAGCAGUGGGGAAUAUUGGACAAUGGGCGCAAGCCUGAUCCAGCCAUACCGCGUGGGUGAAGAAGGCCUUCGGGUUGUAAAGCCCUUUUGUUGGGAAAGAAAAGCAGCAGGUUAAUACCCCGCUGUUCUGACGGUACCCAAAGAAUAAGCACCGGCUAACUUCGUG
rnacentral:rRNA from 1 species